rnacentral:rRNA from 1 species
AACGAACGCUGGCGGCAGGCUUAACACAUGCAAGUCGAGCGCCCCGCAAGGGGAGCGGCAGACGGGUGAGUAACGCGUGGGAAUCUACCCAUCUCUACGGAAUAACGCAUGGAAACGUGUGCUAAUACCGUAUACGUCCUUCGGGAGAAAGAUUUAUCGGAGAUGGAUGAGCCCGCGUUGGAUUAGCUAGUUGGUGGGGUAAAGGCCUACCAAGGCGACGAUCCAUAGCUGGUCUGAGAGGAUGAUCAGCCACACUGGGACUGAGACACGGCCCAGACUCCUACGGGAGGCAGCAGUGGGGAAUAUUGGACAAUGGGCGCAAGCCUGAUCCAGCCAUGCCGCGUGAGUGAUGAAGGCCCUAGGGUUGUAAAGCUUUUUCACCGGUGAAGAUAAUGACGGUAACCGGAGAAGAAGCCCCGGCUAACUUCGUGCCAGCAGCCGCAGUAAAAA